rfam:Bacillus sp. 1NLA3E, complete genome.
GGACUCCCACUGAGAAAGAUUUAGCAAAUCACUCAUAGCGAGUCUUGGACAACACAGGGUAACCGGUGUUGUUAAGCGUAGACAGCAAGCUAGUAGGCCGAAAGCGAAAGUUGAAGGGAUUGAGCCUCGGAAUCCCAAUCGGGAAGGUUGAUACUUUGAACCGAGUAGAAAACAACACUACUUUAGUCGUUAUGCGAGAAUAUAGUAGCUUCCCCGGGGUCAGUGACCA